rnacentral:lncRNA from 1 species
AUUUUAUUUUGUUUUUUUACAACUACUAGCCUUAGUAAAUUUAUAUUUGUAUAUAUAAUCAUCUUCUUGCUACGUUGGUAUUUUAAAAUUGAAUACGAUGAUUGAAUCACCGUGUUCAUAUCUCUACUAUAGUCUCUCUUUUUUAACUUAGGGGCGAUAAAAAAUACUAAAAAAAAUAUAGUGAUCUAAUCGCCUUGUUUAAAUACACCGAUUGAAUCACCAUAUUUAACUUAUAAUCGCCAUUUAGGCGCUCCUGUGGUAAGAAAAAGACUAUUUAUGCAAAUAUAAAUAUGUUAAAGUUAUUUGUAAUUUUUUCUUUGUGAGAAGAUUAAAUACUAAAAAAAAAACCCAAAAAUACCUCAUUUGAGAGAGAGAGAGAGAGAGAGAGAGAGAGAGAGAGAACUCACUAGAGAAAAAAAGGACAAACUAUGCUAGGGAGAGUUUUGUGGUACUCGUAUAAGAAAGGAACGUCCAUGAAAGGCUUUCAACGUUCAACCACAGUACCGACCAAUACCGACCGUCCCUAGCAUAAGUGAUAAAGAGCUUGGUAGUUGAUACCCGAGGUCCCAAGUUCGAAUCCUAGUUGAUUUAUAUUUCCAGCUAAGUUUAUUUCUAAAUGAAAUAAACGAAGCGAGUAGCAUGAUACCUAUCUCUCUCAAAAAAAAAAAAAAACGUUCAACGACAAUGCAUCUCGUAGUCCAAAAUCACUAGCUGCGAUAACGAACACAACAAUUCAAUAUAAAGUGGCUGUUCUAAAUUACCGACUCAAAAUAUUUAAAUUCAACUGUUAUAGUUAUAUUUUAGUAUAAUUAUAAUUUUUUAAUUCGAUAUGGAAUUAUUAAGACAUUUCAGACGUUUCAAAA